CUCUUGGUGAAAAGGCAGAGAUAAAACCAGACAAAGUUCAUAAUCUACUUGGAAGAGCUGGACAAGACUUCUCUGAAUCUUAAGAUAUCAGUGGAACAAGAUAUUGAAAUAGAGAACCUGAAACCAGCCACAGUGCAUGUCUAUGACUACUAUAAACCAGAUGACCGUAUAGCAAGAGAAUACAAUUCCCCUUGCAGUUCAGAUGUUUAGAUCAAAGAUUCUGAAAAGAACACCAUGGUUCUGGAACCAGUAAUCUGAGUUUCCUGCUUUCAUAAGGAAAACACCAUUACUCUGGCUCUCCUGCUGUACACACUUUUUCUCUGUUGGAUGCACCCUCUUUCAUUUGAUGCCCUUAUUUUCUGUGUGAAACCUGAAUUGAUAUGCAGUAGUUUGAGUUCAAGUGAAAUAAACUAUGUGAAACCUGAAAAGAA